UACAGAGGGUGCGAGCGUUAAUCGGAUUUACUGGGCGUAAAGCGUGCGUAGGCGGCUUCUUAAGUCGGAUGUGAAAUCCCUGAGCUUACUUAGGAAUUGCAUUCGGUACUGGGAAGCUAGAGUAUGGGAGAGGAUGGUAGAAUUCCAGGUGUAGCGGUGAAAUGCGUAGAGAUCUGGAGGAAUACCGAUGGCGAAGGCAGCCAUCUGGCCUAAUACUGACGCUGAGGUACGAAAGCAUGGGGAGCAAACAGGAUUAGAUACCCUGGUAGUCCAUGCCGUAAACGAUGUCUACUAGCCGUUGGGGCCUUUGAGGCUUUAGUGGCGCAGCUAACGCGAUAAGUAGACCGCCUGGGAGUACGGUCGCAAGACUAAA
rnacentral:rRNA from 1 species